UAACAUUUGUUGCGGAAAUCUUGUUCUCACUGCCAUAUGCGAUUCGGAUAGUUAAUGAGAAUCUGCUCAAAAUGUCACACAAGUGCUGUAUGCCCUAUUGUAGGGGAAACUACGACAACGGUUUAAAAGUUAGCGUCUUUUCAUUCCCGUCUGAUGAAGCAUUAAGAUUGAAACGGAUCGCUGCAGUUCAUAGGAAUGACUGGGAACCCAGUAAACAGUUCGUUAUAUGUGAACUGAUUUCACUGCAGACGACAUUGAGAAAAUUACCAGUGCUUACGACCCAAAACUGGCAAACUCUUUACAGCACCUUUGGACCGUCCACGUUUAAAGAAACGUUCGUGAAAAUUUAUCGUAAAGGGUACUUGUAAUCAGUUUUCAGAUUAAUGUUCAGAUGCCGUACCUUCCAAGUUGCCAGGAUGAACUACGUAUUUAUCUUCAAAACAAGCACCAGCUCGAGAAGAUCCAGAGAGUCGCGAACGUUUGGAGAACCAAGCACUUGAGAAAGUCAUUGAGCAGAGUGUGGGAUCACACAAAAAAUGAUGGAAAAGAGUUCAUUUGCUAGUUUAGAAGAUUUUAAAUCAAAAUUAUCUGAUUGUGAAAAGCACAGUGACUGGGUCACGGUAACUAAAUCAAAUAAUUUGUGUCUUGUGUUAAAGGAUGCUCCUUAUCUAAAUGUUGUGUGGCAUGUCGUUAUAAAUAGUGAUUUAGUGUUAAGUGCAUUUGUGAAGGAAGCUGAGCUAAAUUGUGCUGGUACGAUUAAAUUACCAAACCAAGUAAGUGAUACUGGUACAGUUAGCAAUAUUUUGAAAGAGUUGUAUGUGAUGUUUCAUAUAAAUGAGGCUCCAUUUGACGCAAGUUUGUCUUGCAUUGAAGACAUUUUGGAAAACUUGUAAGAAAAUUUACCAGAAAGUGAGCAUAAAAUUAAAUUUUUGAAGGAA